ACCUGGGUGGCUCAGUGGGUUGAGCAUCUGACUUUGGCUCAGGUCAUGAUCUCACGGCUUGUGGGUUCAAGCCCCACAUUGGGCU
rfam:Felis catus isolate Cinnamon breed Abyssinian chromosome A2, whole genome shotgun sequence.